CGCAGCAGCCUCCGCCUGAGGCCUCGUCUGCACCGCCCAGGCCCCGCAGACCGUGCCUCUGCCAGCCAAUCGCGCGCCGCGCCUGGGAGAAACGCGGACGUCCACCAAUCACGAGCGCGCCACUCGAAGCUCCUCGGCCAAUGCGGAGGCGGCCUACCUAGGCUCCCAGCCAAUCGAGAACUGUUGCCGAGCCGUGGGGCGGGGAAAUGGGCGGGGCUCAGCGGCGGUGCGCGGCGCGGAGGGGGCGGGGCGAGAGAGCCGGGAGGAGGGGCGGAGGGGCUCCAGUCUCAGGGAGGGUCUCUGUCCAGAGGAGGACCCCGGUCUCAGGAGAACCUGGGUCUCGGCCGGCAACAGCCAGGCCGUCCCGCGCCGUGGCCGCCAUCCCUGCAACACCCGUCCCUGCGCUCCGUGGCUGUCUUCGAGCCCCUGCUCCCCACACCCAGAAACUGUGCGGUCUCCGAGCUCCGUCCGCUUUCCCAGGUGUGCGCGCCUGGCCGCAGGUGCGCUCCUCCGAGGCGGAACGUGGCGGAGCUGGGCCCUCCGGCUGCUGCCCCGGGGCCUGCCGAGGACACCUGCGCCUUCCUGACCUGCAGGCUUCUCCAACCACGGACCACACAGAUAACAACAGGCCACUUUUGGCGACUAGAAAAUGUGAGAUUUCAUAGGUGGCACUCAUGGUGUUUCUAGUGGACAGCAGUGUAGACAUCCGCGGACACUUCUGGGUAAGGAUUCCACACGGAAGGCAGGUCACAGAAGCAAUCUUCUUCCUCCCAAUAAUUACGAAAUGACCGAGACCAGCUUAAAAGAAGAAAAGAUAUUUCACCGGCAACAACAAACAGGGAAGGGUGCAAAGCCACAUGCCAUAAGGCCAAAGGAGGGGAUGAGAUACUGGCGGGGCUCCAUGGGACCCCCCAGUACAUGAUGAAAGGAAGCUCACGAAAUCCUGAGGGUCCCGCCAAGUUUGAGAGGAACAGCAGAGGAUGUGCAGGCAGCAUCGGGAAAGGCACGAAAAAGCCUUUGAGAGUAGAAGCCGGUGCUUCCCAUCCUGGGCCCGUGGUGGUGCAAGGCAAGGCCAGCAGCCUCUCAAAUCACUUCAGCCCCCCCCGCUCCCUCCCCAGCUCAGAAUCCGGAAUCUGAAUGCCUCUCAGCCUUGGUGGAGGUGAGCACCAAGGCUGGGCUCACCAUUUAGGCCUCCAGGCUGAGGAGUGGGGAGCAGCCGGCGGGGGCGGGGGGACACGGGGAACGGGGAAAUGUCCCUGGCAAAAAAAACAACAGAAACAGGCCCUUAGAACACUCACCAGCAAGAGGAAACAAGCAGGACAAGAUGCCCUGAUGGAGGAAGCAGUAGCUGACAGCCCCCCACCUCCAGCACACAGUGAUGGGAGGAAACCCAUGACUCUCCCUGCUCGUGUCUCCUCCACCUGCAGGGAAAGAGGCUGCAACCAGGGACAGACACCCCUGGUGCCGACUCAGGUGAGGCCUGGAGGUCUUCUCUGGAGGGACUGUGCCCACCCUGACCACUUCCAUCUCGUUUAUGCUGGCUUCGGCCGGCUUCAGCUGGUUGGUAUCGGUCUGUACCGGUGGGUGGGUAUGAAUGAGUUCACCUGGCACUGCAGCUGCUCCGGGCCCUUCAGCACAGCCACAGACACCUGGAGAGCAGCCAGCCCUGCUCCUCUGGAGGCCGAGGCCCGAGCAGGAAGAGACUUCCCCAUAGGCACCGUCAGGGGCGUUGGGAGUCUUCCCUCCCCUCGCUGUGCUGGCCCCGGUGCCCAUGCUUUCUGCCUUCCAUCUCCCUCUUGCUGUGGUCCUACUCCACGAGGUCUUCCCCGCCUGUGCCCACCCGUGCCCACCUGUGCCCCUUGACUUCAACCCCAGCGUGCUCACCUGGACAGCUUCUUGGGCACUUACUCCCAGUCUUUCUUCUUAUUGGGACUGCAUUAAUUUAACAUAUGUUUACUGCAUGCCUACUGUGUGCCCCAUACUUAGUAGGUGUUGGGAUCCACCGAUGAAAAUCAAGUUUGCUGCCCACCUGACACACCUGCUUCCAGCAGGAAGAGACUUGCGUAACAGAUACGUGUGUUUGUGCGUGUGUCUUAUGCCUACAGAGUGAGAAUUCACUAUUCAAGAAAGCAAAAUGGGUGGAAACACUGCUUUCUAGAUGGAAAAACAAAAGAAAUCUUCAGGUGACAGGUAGUUGGAGUGAGACAAUCACAGUGCAGGAAGCUAACCUGGAGCCUGAUGUCUUAUGGAGUUAGAUCACAGGAGGGAAGAGAUAAACUCCAAGAACAAAGCUAGUUUUCCUUGAAAAAGAAAACAGCGCUCACAGUUUCAUAUGUGCAGAGACGGGGCAUGAAAUGUACUCAGGAAAUGACAAGCUGUUAACUGAAAAAUGUAGGUUCUAUAUGAUUCCGUGUGUGUACAGACACACACACACGCACAGAGCACAGAAAAUUGCCAGUGAUUCUAUCCAAGUGGGGCUUCGUAAAUUGUUUUCUUAUUUGACUUUACCUGUAUUUUGCACAAAAUACUAAGAAAUUUUUACAAAUUUUAGAAGUUUAGAAAUGUUAAACUAUGGAAAAAGUACAGUAAUAUGCACACUGACUCCACUGUCCUAAAUUAACAACUAAUAUUUUGCCGUUUUCUCAUUGAAAUUUUAUUUUUAAAGAAAUAAAACUAGAUUCCAGAUGAAUGACCACCUAAAUGAAAAGGAACACUAGGGGGGCUUCCCUGGUGGCACCGUGGUUGAGAAUCUGCCUGCCAAUGCAAGGGACGCGAGUUCGAGCCCUGGUGCGGGAAGAUCCCACAUGCCGCGGAGCAACUAAGUCCGGGCGCCACAACUACUGAAGCACGCACACCUAGAGCCCGUGCUCCGCAACAAGAGAAAGACUUCGUGCAGCAACAAAGACCCAACGCAGCCAAAAAUUAAACAAAUAAAAAAAUUAAAUUAAAAAAAGAAAAGGAACACUACGAUGUCAAAAGAAGAUAAUGAAGGAGGCUCUGUUUCCCAGGGGUGGGGAAGGAUUUCUUAAAACAAACCUCAAAAGCACAGACCUUAUGAUGAAACAUUGAUGGAUCUGAUUACAUCAAAAUGAAAGAUGUGUGCUCAAUAAAGAUACCACGAACAAGCCAGCAGACAAAUGACAGGUCAGAAGAUAUCUGCCAUCUUUAAAAGACAAGGAGCUACUGUUUAGAAUAUACAAGAAGCUCCUGCAAAUCAACAAGAAAAAGAGGAAUGCAAUAGGAAAAUGGGCAAAGGAUGGGAACAGGCAAUCCACAGAAAAAGAAACUUAAAUGCAGGACAAGAAUAUAAUAAAGAGUUGCUUCAGCCCAUUAGUAAUCAGAGAAAUGCAAAUUCAAGUAACUCCACACCACUCUAUCCCCAUCAGAUCGGCAACCAUCAGAGUGGACGACACCGAGUAUUGGCGGGUGUGUGGACGGCCCAAGCAAGCUCAGGGGGAGGGUCCCUGGAGCAGUCAGGGUCACAGAGACAGCAAGGAGGAGGGUGGGCACCAGGGGCUGGAGGAGGGGGAUGGGGGUUAGUGUUUAAUGGGGGCAGAGUCUCAGUUUGGGAAGAUGAGAAAGUUCUGGAGACGGACAGUGGUGACGUUGCACAACAAUGUGAAUAUUCUUAAUACCCCUAAACUGGACAUUGAAAAAUGGUUAAGUUGGUAAAUGUUAUGUGAAUUUUAGUACAAUUUUGUGGCAUCUGGAAAGCAGCCUCCCCGAGGUACCUCCUGUGGAUGAAAUCCUCCCACUGAUUAUAAAACCCACCUGCUUGGGGGCUUUAACCCGUUCCAAGGGGAAAGGGCAGCAUGAAAAUAGUGACCCAGGAACCGGAUGGGCCAGAGUGAAGGCUGCUCCCAACAUGGGGCACAGGUGUCCAGACUCGUGUAACUGGGAGUGAAGAUGCUGGGAGGUUUCAACUCCCCAGGCAUCUCUCCUGUGCCCUCUGCAGCCCCCACCCCUUUCCACCGCCUGUCCUUAGCCCCUGGAAACCACUAGCCUGCCAUCUUUUCCUAAAGUUUUGUCAUUUCAGAAAUGUUGUAUAAGGACUUCCCUGCUGGUCCAGUGGUUAAGACUCCACACUCCAAAUGCAGGGGGCCCGGGUUUGAUCCCUGAUCAGGGGACCAGAUCCUACAUGCAUGCCACAACUAAGAGCCCACAUGCUGCAACUAAAGGUACCACACGCUGCAAUAAAUAUCGGACAUGCCGCAAGUAAGACCCGGCACAGCCAAAUCAAUCAAUCAAUCAAUAAAUAUUUUGUAAACAGCGUUGUAUAAAUGGUAUCAUACGGUAUGUCAACUUUUGAGGUUGGCUUUUUAAACUCGGCACGAUUCCUGGAGAUUCACUCAAGUUGGUAUGUUUAUUAGUAUUUGGAUCUGUGUGGUUUGUUGUGGUUUUUUUUUGGCUGCACCACGUGGCUUGUGGGAUCUUAGUUCCCUGACCAGGGACUGACUCUGGGCCCUGGCAGUGAAAGCUUGGAGCCCUAACCACUGGACCACCAGGGAAUUCCCAUGGAUCUGUUUUAAUACGAGACUUUUUAAAAGGAGGUUGCAAACACGAUAGGACUAAUCAAUUGGACCAUGACAUGGAUCUUUCUGUCGUGGUGAGUAGGACGCUGUCCCUCCUCCUGUCCUCUCUGACGACACUUCUCUGAAGUUUGGGGACACCCUUCUUUCAUGCAGCAGGAAAUGGGACACAGAGAGACGUACACUUCACGCUGACUGGAGCCACAACACCUGGACUCCCAGCGUCAUCCAUGUGAUGACGACGUCCUGACAGCACCCGGGCUUAGACUUGUGGGGACCUGUUCCCGUUCUCAAAAGGUGCCCACCCUCCUGGUGGCCGCAGACAUAUGCUGGUGCCCGGCUGUUUAUGCAUCAGGUCCUUUGCAUCUGUGAGUUUAUCACACAGGCUUCCACGUCUCAAAUGUCCAUUCUUAAAUGCCCCGAAGCGUAUUGGAAGUCACCGUAAGGUAAACUUCUCCUUCUCGGGGAUGUGGCUGUAAGGCAGAGGUAACUGAGAUUUGAAUUCAAAGUGGGAUUCUUUUGAGUUCUGAAGCAUUUCUAUUGUCAUACAGUGAGUGUUUUUGCCUGUGGUGAGUCACUGUCACAAUCUACACAGACCAUCACACAACCAGGUGCAGCCAGUUCACCCACUUGUGGCCUCUUUAAAGACCCUCCAACUGGCUGGAGAAAAGCAUAUGAACCUCUGUCUUCCUGUAGACCCUGAGUCCGUUCUCAUCCCUGAUGUAUUUCCAGACUAGAGGACGGCACUCCUUUCCCGCACUGUGAGAGAUAGGCUUUGACGGCAACCAGCAUGUGCACAUCUUUCCUAUGACCGCCAACAACGACAGGUAUCUUGUAGGAAGUAUCUAAGAGGCUUCUGCUUCCAUUUCUAUGGUCAGAAGUCUCCUUACUUCUGCAUAUUCAGAGGAAAGUGAAAGGUGACCCAAACUUGCCUUAUGAAAAGCCCAACAUUGCAGGUAAGCAGAUCUCACCUUUAUGGGCAGAGUUGUGUGUAAAGGCUGGAGGACAUUUAGCAGCUAAGGUCUGUUCAUUUCUUUGGUAAGAAGAUCACUGACUGAGUCUGCCAGAAUUCACCUUUGCACCGGCACCAAACACGCAGACGGAUGAGCACAGAUGAGUUUGUGGACAAGAUAAUGACAAUCUUUGUUUUAUGUAUUCUGCAGUCUCAUGAAACUCUUCACAGACAUCAAGAAGACGAUUUGAAACUCCUCUCUUCCAAUCAAAGCAGCUAAGAGCUGGAAGAACAGUGUUUUGCUGCCAGGAUCGCAUGGGUCUCAUUGGGGUGAGAUCUGAAGGGUCAGCUCUACGCUGUCAGGGCAGGAGCCACAUCUCUUAGCAAAACCUUAGUUCCAGUCUCAGAAUGCGGAAAUGUCACUACUCAGCUCCACAGGGCGUGAAGGGACAAUGCGUCGCCAAGCUCCAGCAGCGGUUACUGACCACCUGUGGCUUUGGAGAGACAAAAAGUCGCGGCUGGUUUACAAGAACUUUCCUGUCACGUCAGGGACUCGAGGUCAGUCCCCACCUGUGCCUUCACCCCCUCCAUCUGAAAGUCCGUAUCCAGAUCUGUGCAACCCCAGAGCCCGAGGCUUUAGCCGCUAUGCAAACUGCCACACUCAUAACUGCAGUUUAGAAAACAUAAGAAAGUAUUUAAAAAAUUUUUAAAAACCCAUAGAUCACUUUAAUCCCAUCACCCAGAGCUAACUUUUGUAAAUAUUUUUAUGUCUGUUCUGUCACUUUCUGUGUACACAUGCGUACAUUUUUACAGAAGUGCACCCUGUAUGUGCCACUUUGCAGCCUGCUUCUCCACCUAGGAUGCCUGUGGACACUCUUCUCCGCCCACAGACAGAAGUCAAGCUCUCAGUGCAGAGAAGAACUGAGCACAGGCAGUUUCUCCUCUUCUCACCUAAGGCUUCCUUGAAAGGAUUAGUGGAGAAGCACAGAAAGGAGGUGGGUGGGGAUGGGAGACGUCAGUAGAUGAGAGCAUUCAGCAAAUCUGGGCAAGGAGAAAAGCAGUUAGAAGAGUGGCGGAGGAAGCAGCAUCCCAGAAUAGGCACGGGGGUGGGGAAGGGGCUGGGGGUGGCCUGGGCAGAGGCGGAGGCUUGUCUGUCCUGGUCUCAGAGGCUCAGCUUCGGGGUAGGGCUGACACCGGGGAUUAACCAGAGCUCUGGGUUGAACAACUGUUCCCUCCCAAACGCAGGCCACAGAGCAACUGGCAGCUGGCCUGGCUCCCUGGUCCAGAAGCCAGAUUUCUCUUCUCCAAACAAAUCAAGCAAACUGCUUGGUGCUUUUAGGGUGGGGCGGGGCUCCCCAAGGAAUUCCUCCGUCGGUCCGGCACCUGGUAACCCUUACCCUUGGACAGGACACUCCCGUCAACCUUUCUAUUUAGGAGAGAGGCCUGUCAAGGAAACUGAGGUAGCUGGAAUAACCAAGUAAGAUCUGACCACGCCGAGUGAUGGGAAAGAUUCAGAGCGAAUGGAACUCUCAUACAUUUCUGGUGGGACCGUCAAAUGUUACAACUACUCUGGAAAACAGAUCAGCAGUUUAUAAUAUAGCUAAGCCUACACUUUUUAUGCCAUCCAGCGAUUCCACCCCUCAGCAUUCGCCCAGGCAAAAUGAAGACGUAUGUCCACGCAGAGACUUGCAUACGAACGUUUCUAGCAGCGUUAUUCAAAACUGAACAGGAAGCACCCAAACGUCCCUCAACUGAUGAGCAGAUAAAAAAUUGUGAUACAAUGGAAUACGACUCAGCAAUAAAAAUGGAAUGAAUAACUGCUACAUGCAAAAGUGUGGCUAAGUCUCAAAAACACUGUGUUGAGCAUGACAAUAUAGAAAUGACAUUGUAAUCUGUAAUGUCAGAAGGCAGAUCAGUGGCUGCCCAGGGCCUGGCUGCGGAGUGGGGUUUGACUCGGAAGGGGACCAAAAAAACUUUGGGGGGUAAUGGAAACAUUCUAUAUCUUGAUUGUGAUGGUAAUUGCACAACUGUAUAUAUUUGUCAAAACUCAGCAAAAUAUACACUUAAAAUGGGACCAUUUCAUUGUAUGUAAAUUAAAUCUGAAUAAAAUUCAUUUAAAGAAAAA